rnacentral:misc_RNA from 1 species
GCAAACUUGGUCAUUUAGAGGAAGUAAAAGUCGUAACAAGGUCUCCGUAGGUGAACCUGCGGAGGGAUCAUUUUAGAAUCCGGGUUGGCCGGCGGGCCCUCGUGCUCUGACUGGCCACAGACCCACCUUCAGCCUGUGGAAACAAGCCGUGCUUCGGCGACCCUUUCUGGGCGCCGCCUUUAUGCCGUCUGCUCUGUCUUGUCUGUUACAAAAGUAGAAAUCAAAACUUUCAACAAAGGAUCUCUUGGCUCUCGCAUCGAUGAAGAACGCAGC